rnacentral:rRNA from 1 species
GAUGAACGCUAGCGAUAGGCUUAACACAUGCAAGUCGAGGGGCAGCAUUAUUUUAGCUUGCUAAGAUAGAUGGCGACCGGCGCACGGGUGCGUAACGCGUAUGCAACCUGCCUGUAAUUAGGGAAUAACCCGGUGAAAGUCGGACUAAUACCCUAUAUUCUUCUUUCUCCGCAUGGGGAAGGACGGAAAGAUUUAUUGAUUACAGAUGGGCAUGCGUCCCAUUAGCUUGUUGGUAAGGUAACGGCUUACCAAGGCAACGAUGGGUAGGGGGACUGAGAGGUUGACCCCCCACACUGGUACUGAGACACGGACCAGACUCCUACGGGAGGCAGCAGUGAGGAAUAUUGGUCAAUGGGCGAGAGCCUGAACCAGCCAAGUCGCGUGAAGGACGACGGUUCUAUGGAAUUGUAAAACUUCUUUUGUAGAGGAAUAAAUGGC